AGCUGGUCUGAAGGUAGUAAGUUAAUUCAAUUGAUGGUUCACAGUCAGUUACAGAUCAAACUCCUUGUCUGAUAUUUCCCCACGUCUCACUACGGCACUUGACUAGUCUUAA
rnacentral:Y_RNA from 1 species